rnacentral:ncRNA from 1 species
UCCUGACCUUUCUAUUAGUUAUUAAUAAAAUUACACAUGCAAGAGUCCUCGUCCCUGUGAAAAUGCCCUCUACACCAUUAUCUUAUUGGUAUAAAGGAGCUGGUAUCAAGCACGCUAAAAAGUAGCUCACAACACCUUGCUCAGCCACACCCCCACGGGAAACAGCAGUGACAAAAAUUAAGCAAUAGACGAAAGUCUGACUAAGUUAUAUUACUAAGGACUGGUAAAUUUCGUGCCAGCCACCGCGGUCAUACGAUUGGGCCAAAUUAAUAGACGUUCGGCGUAAAGAGUGUACUAGAGAUCACGUUAAUUAAUAAAGUUAAGCUAUAUCUAAGCUGUAAAAAGCCCUAGCUAAUGCAAAACAAAUAACGAAAGUAACUUUAAAAGUCUGACUACACGAUAGCUAAGACCCAAACUGGGAUUAGAUACCCCACUAUGCUUAGCCCUAAACACAGAGAGUUAUAAACAAAAUUAUUCGCCAGAGUACUACCAGCAAAAGCUGAAAACUCAAAGGACUUGGCGGUGCCUUAAACCCUUCUAGAGGAGCCUGUCCUAUAAUCGAUAAACCCCGAUAUACCUUACCAACCCUUGCCAAAUCAGCCUAUAUACCGCCAUCUUCAGCAAACCCUAAGAGGGAAUAAUAGUAAGCAUAAGUAUUAACAUAAAAACGUUAGGUCAAGGUGUAGCCUAUGGGUUGGAAAGAGAUGGGCUACAUUCCUCAAGUAGAGGUAAUAUUUUACGAAAACCCAUGUGAAAUCAACAGUUAAAGGAGGAUUUAGCAGUAAAUUAAGAAUAGAGUGCUUAGUUGAAUUAGGCCAUGAGGCACGCACACACCGCCCGUCACCCUCCUCAAGUGAAAACAUGAAAUGCUAUAUAAACAUAAAUUGUUAACCCGCAAGAGGAGAUAA